AUUGCUUCUUGAAUAACCGGUUGUGAAUUGUCUGUGACAUAAUGCGCAGUCGGUUCAGACAGGGGCAUAUAUCAAAUCUGAAUCCACUUGAGGGAAGGAAAUUUCAGUUUUCCUUUCGUAGAUGGACUCAAUAUAU
rnacentral:snoRNA from 1 species